AAAAAUUGUUGGUCACAGAUGCAAGACGAUUUUGCUUGUGAAGUUGCGUUAAUUCACCAAGCUGUGAGAGCACGCGCGAUCAAAAUAGUACAAAUGCUUUCGGUAAAUCGAGAUCAAAAUUUCGAAUCUACAAUAGCACGAAAUGAGAGAUAAAACGUAAAAAAAGUAUAAAUUCAACGUCCAAAUAUGCCAGUAGGUAAUCGCUUGUCUUAUUUUCUUUCAAUUGUAAUAACAGCGAUGCUACUAAGUCGGUCUUGCCCUAUUGGAUCUUAAAAAUGUCUUAAUGCGCGGAAGGGCGCUGAAAGACCUUACAUCAGAGCACGACGUUGCAGGAACUGUGGCCAGGAUGGAGGUAACUCUAACCCUAAAUGGAGACCAUUUUGAUGCAUGGUUUUUACCAACACGGCUGUUUUUUCCUCUGGCAUUGGUCCCCGCAGUUGUAGUUUUCAAAGAUUGACUUCUCAAGCGAUAGCAUUUCACUACCCACGCCGUAUAAAUGUGAUACAAUUUGCGUGUUGCUGCGGCUUGGAGAAAAGAUAUCUUCAACAUUGCGCAAAACAAUUUUAACGCUCGCAAAAAUUACGACUUGUCUUAGCUAUCUGCAACAUCCUUUACAAUAAAGGUAACAAAAGUAACUUGUUUUUACUAUCUACAACAUUGUGACACAUUUUUAACUUGCGUCAACUGUUUAAAUUACAUUGCAGGACACAACCUCGGCGUGUACUCUAUCUUCAAUAUUGCAUGCGAUACUUUUAGCUUGUCUUGAUUAUGUGCAACUUCUCAAGCGGCUUUUCCAUCUGUUGUCUUUUACCUGUACCAUUGCGCGAAGAGGCCUUCCACAAUUAUCAGCUAUUUCAUUUUUCCUUGUUAAAACGUAGUUUAAUCCCAAACGAAACUCGCCAAUUAUUUCUUAGUAUAGAGCAGUUAUUUCUUAGUAUAGAGGUUAAGGCAACAUUUUCAUACUUGUCUUUCAACAUUUUCAAAACUUGUCUUUCCCCCUUUCCCUCCCCGUUUCUCCAGUUAAGUUUUUGUGGGGCUAUGCAUAAGGCCCGCUAAGUCAAAGCAAAUAUGUAUGUAUACGGGAUGACACCUAACAGACCUCCCAGAGCAUAUUUUGCCCUAUAGGUAGACUGGGUACUAGCAUUUGCCGGGUUCGAGGGUGGCCAUUGCCAGCGUUCUGCAGCCUUCGUUGGGUGCACCGUUUCAUAUCGUGUUCUCUGCGCCCUUAUUUUAAGUUAAGUAAUUCUUGUACAGCUUACUUUCAUCUUUCUAGUAGUUGCCUACUCGUAAGACUAGAAUACGUCAACCCAAUGCAGUGCUGGAAAUAAUUUUUCCUCUUUAACGGGUCAUGUGUCCUUUCAAAUCUUCAUUUGGCUGGACACGCUAAAUGCCGGACUUGGUCGGUCCUUGGUCUUGUGCUCAAGAUCUCGAGCACAGCUUUUCCCAAUACGGAACGACCAAGGCUGGCAAAUAACAUAUAUGGUUAUAUAUAUGGUUAGCUACGAUUCAUCGCUAAAAUGAACGUGAUUUCGCGUUAGUUCCCGCGUGAAACAGUGUUCCCGCGAAUUUUUUCCGUGACGCGUCCGUUUCGACCCAAAGAAACUGGGAACGAAAGAGGAUCCAACAUGGCGGGUUGCGUGGCAGUGGAUAAUUCUGAGCAGAUUUUGAUAAUAUGAUUAUGUUUUGACGCUGAAGCUGCGACGAGGAGGCCCUUUAUGAUAUCAGUUGAGUUUUGAAAGGCAUUUGCCUUCGUCUGGUUGGAUUUGGGUGCAAAGAAAAAUCGCUGCAGCGGCAACAAAACACUGAAACAGAAACCACGUUCACAAACGCUGAUAGCUCCGACAACAGCCUGGCAAUUCCUAGCUAAUGAAAAACUCCUACCCGAGGCUGAAAUCAACGCCAACUGCAAUGAUUGAAAAUGAUAGACCACGAGUUUGGUCUCUAAAAACAUCUAUGUGUCAUACUUGUUGCCCUGAGGUUGUCUGGUAAAAGGUCGGCCAGCUUGAUGAAUUUUCUGUUGGUGAUUUAAAUGAGCACCAACUUGUGUAGGAUGGGAAAGUACAGUAGCUCAGGCCAGUUACAAAAUCUUUUCUGAUCACACAUGUACAUGUAGCUAAAGCUGAAAUGGCUGGAAUCAAGGACACGACACUGCCCCCAGCACUCGAUGACUGCGGGCCUGCCAAUAGCAGCAUAAGGCGGCAAAGAAAGAGUACAGAAAGUAGAUAUGAAUGAAGGAACUGGGAUGUUACAUGUACAUGUACCUGACGCAAUGGCCUGACCAGUGUUUGUAAAGGUACAGUGUAGUGUCCAUGUUGAGAUGGGGCUUGUGUUUGAUGGGGUGUUCUGCAUGAGACCGUGUCGUGUUUGUGGAUUGUGGCAAGAAAUUCAGGUCCUGAUAGACAAACAAGAUCAAAAUAUAAACUCACCUAAAAUUAAUGGAAGAUGUGUCCAAAUGAGGCUCAGAUUUACCCAGCCAAGAAUGUGAAUGAGAUACAAGAGAGUUAAAAGUCAUGGUAAGUGUGUUUGCUAGCAAGAUUAUUCUUGGAGAUCAUAAGCUCAUCUGAAGUGUGCUAGUCAUAGAAUCGAAGUAGCCUCCCUCGCUUUUUUUCUUGCUUCAUCUAUGUGUUGUGUAACACAAAAGAAUGCAGAAGAGUAAGAGAGCACCUAAGAAGAAGGAUGACCAACUAAUUAAGAGAAUGACCUUCCACAACCAAGUGAUUCUGCAUUGUGAAUUUCACAUAAUAAUUUGUAUUAUGGCCUUAAUUUUUACUGUACCCAGUGUCAUUGUGCAACUGUAUGAGGUGUUUAGAAAACAAUGUUAUUAACCUGUCACGUCAAUACAGCAAGAUGAAAUGAAGUGAUAAGGCCCACGAGCUCCGCUCUUCUAAAGGCUUGCCUAAAUCUACAUGUACAUUAUAUAAUUAUAUUUAUUUACGUUUUCUAAAGCGGAACGUAAUAUGAUUCCUGUCAUUCUCAGCAAGGGGAACACUGUUCAACACUGUUGUAGUGGGGGAGAGGGGGGAGAGGGAUGGAGGGACUUCAUCUGUAGAUCCAGUUCUGUAUGUACUAUCAGUAACUGCUGCACUUGUUGUUUUAAAUACAUGCAAGCUCUUGUGCCCUUUGAUGCUGAGAGGCUAACUGGCUUGUUUAUUUUUAUUAAUGUCUUUUAUAAAGGAACUGACCAAGACAUUAAAAAUCCAAACCAAAUAGAAGGUUAGAAGGUCUAAGAGCAGACUCAAGUCAGAUGGAAUGUGAAUGAGAAAUAGAAAAGCUAAGAGUCAUGGCCGGCCUUGUAGCGAUGGUCAACAUGACUAUCAUAAUUCAGGUAAAGCCCAGUGUUUGUUGGCUUUCUGUAUACACUUGUGCUGAGUAUAGUGCUGUUCUUUGCAAUAUUCAUUCCCAGAAAAGGAAGGGUGUUGUCCAUAGCAGUUUCCAUGGUGAAAUUAAAGGAGGGGUGUUUUGAGUUCAAAACAUCAAGGGAGGAGGUAGCUGCUUGGGGGUUAGGCACUCUCGUUUGUAGUAGUGAGGCAUUUGGCCGUCGUCUUGUCAGUGUUUUAAUGUCUGAACGAAUUGCGGUUAUUUUGCCAACAAGUUCUUUAGCCAACGACUUGUUCGCCAACGUCUUAGGUCGAUUCGCCUAUGUCCUACAAUGUAUGUUGCUUUGCCAACGUCCUCCUGGUCAAUUCGCCAACGUCAGAUAUCCAGUACUAAUGAAAAAAAUAAGCUGCUUAGUGAUGUUUGGAAUGCAAUCCUGAUCCUUGGGUGAUCCUUGGGUCAAGAAAUUUUAAGUCACAGCUAGUUUCGCUUGACUGACUUCAGAUCAAUUUGCAUGUUUUUGAUAGUUUCACAAGCCAGCUCAUAAGCACUACAUCGCGGUAAUUUUCACAGUAAUUUUCAUGGUGGGGCCAUUAUCUUUCUGAUAUUAUUACUGGUACACCACAUCAUCACCAGAAUAAGCCGUCUGAAGGCCAACCUCUUGUACCUUAAAAAAAAAUCUUAGCGGGAUGGGUAGCAUAGCAGAUUCGCACUUAUUAUUAUGACGGCUUAGGAUAUUCACUCAUUAUCCAGCUUGGGGUUUGCUUUGAGUUUGAUGAGACAUCAAACGAUUAGACGAUAAAGAAAAGAGGUCAAGUCAGCGUUGUUAUUGAUUAAGAAUCCUCUCGCAGACAAAUCAGCUAAGCACACAAUAUUGCAAGAGAACUGCCGCCAGCACACACAAGUGAAGGUAAACUUUUAUUUAGACAUUCGCGAAUUGACCGGUAGGAUGUUGGCAAAUCGACCUAAAACGUUGGCGAACGAGACAUUGGCUAAACAACUCGUUGGCGAAACAACCGGAUACCGUCUGGACAAGUCUUGGAUUUUAGCAUUUUUUACACCUUGUACAAUGUACAUGACUGUGCAUUUUUUUGUUAGAAAUAAGUAUACUUUAGAGUGUUGACAGUUAUACCAUGGAGGUAUCAGACCCUGUACAACAUGUAUCUGGUGGUUAUACAUGUUGUACUUCUGUAGGGUACAUUACUUGUAUAUAUUCACCAGGGCUCCUUACACUGCGU